GUCUACAGCCAUACCACCCUGAACACACCCAAUCUCGUCUGAUCUCAGAAGCUAAGCAGGGUCAGGCCUUGUUAGUGCUUGGAUGGGAGAUCUGCAGAAAGUGGAAAUUACCUUAUUUU
rnacentral:rRNA from 1 species